AGAGUUUGAUCCUGGCUCAGAUUGAACGCUGGCGGCAUGCCUUACACAUGCAAGUCGGACGGCAGCACGGGGGCAACCCUGGUGGCGAGUGGCGAACGGGUGAGUAAUACAUCGGAACGUGUCCUGGAGUGGGGGAUAGCCCGGCGAAAGCCGGAUUAAUACCGCAUACGCUCUGUGGAGGAAAGCGGGGGAUCUUCGGACCUCGCGCUCAAGGGGCGGCCGAUGGCAGAUUAGCUAGUUGGUGGGGUAAAGGCCUACCAAGGCGACGAUCUGUAGCUGGUCUGAGAGGACGACCAGCCACACUGGGACUGAGACACGGCCCAGACUCCUACGGGAGGCAGCAGUGGGGAAUUUUGGACAAUGGGGGCAACCCUGAUCCAGCAAUGCCGCGUGUGUGAAGAAGGCCUUCGGGUUGUAAAGCACUUUUGUCCGGAAAGAAAACUUCGCUCCUAAUACGGGUGGAGGAUGACGGUACCGGAAGAAUAAGCACCGGCUAACUA
rnacentral:rRNA from 1 species